rnacentral:sRNA from 1 species
GCCAGGUGCAGUAGUGUAUACCUGUAAUCCCAGAAGCUCAGGAGGCUGAGUUAGGAGGAUUGGGAGUUCAAAGCCAGCCAGCCUCAGCAUCAAUGAGGUGCUAAGAAAUUCAGUGAGACCCUGUCUCUA